UGCGUAGGCGGGUCUUUAAGUCAGGGGUGAAGUCCUGGAGCUCAACUCCAGAACUGCCUUUGAUACUGAGGAUCUUGAGUACGGGAGGGGUGAGUGGAACUGCGAGUGUAGAGGUGAAAUUCGUAGAUAUUCGCAAGAACACCAGUGGCGAAGGCGGCUCACUGGCCCGUUACUGACGCUGAGGCACGAAAGCGUGGGAGCAAACA
rnacentral:rRNA from 1 species